rnacentral:rRNA from 1 species
UACGGGGGGUGCGAGCGUUGUCCGGAAUCACUGGGCGUAAAGCGCGCGUAGGCGGCCGGUCAAGUGCGGCGUGAAAGUCCUGGGCUCAACCCGGGGACGGCGCUGCGGACUGUCCGGCUGGAGUCCGGAAGAGGGUGGUGGAAUUCCGAGUGUAGAGGUGAAAUUCGUAGAUAUUCGGAGGAACACCGGUGGCGAAGGCGGCCACCUGGUCCGGUACUGACGCUCAAGCGCGAAAGCGUGGGGAGCAAACAGG